rnacentral:rRNA from 1 species
UUUGGCGAUAAUAAUGCAACAGGCCAAGUGAAAUGUCGUAAUGCCGAUGGUAGUGUGGGGAUUCCCCAUGUGAGAGUAGGUCAUCGCCAAUU